GUGACUUAGGAGCAGCGCAUGGUCCUUUACAUGCGCAUUUUGGAGGAGUUUGAUAUGGACAUCCUCGAGGAUGACCAUGUGAGGAGGGUGGUCGACAUCCAAUUGUGUAAUAAAUUUAAGAGCUAUCGCUUGAAAAUGCGCUCCCAUUUUCGAGCGAUGGGAGAUGAAGCAGAAGCGCGGCCAUAUGAUAAGAUAUCCCAAGAAGAUUGGGACGUGGUUUGUCGCCAUUUCCGCGACCCACACUAUUAGGUGAUGUGUUUGUAUUCUAAUCACUAAUUUUUUAGAAUGAUGUCCCUAAUAUGUCGGCAUGACAUCUUCCUUGCAGGCCAUAUGUGAAACAAAUGCUGCGAACCGCAGCAAACUCCCUACGACGCAUUGCAGUGGAUUGAGGCUAUUUGUAAAUCAUCGCCAGCAUGAUCCCGAGACUAGCACAGAGGAGCCGCUACCAGAUCUGUAUCAGAGAACACAUCAAUGGCGAUCGGGGGAGUGGUGCGAGG